rnacentral:rRNA from 1 species
UAACACGAAGUGAGUGGCGAACGGGUGAGUAACACGUGGGUAACCUGCCCAGAAGUAGGGGAUAACACCUGGAAACAGAUGCUAAUACCGUAUAACAGAGAAAACCGCAUGGUUUUCUUUUAAAAGAUGGCUCUGCUAUCACUUCUGGAUGGACCCGCGGCGUAUUAGCUAGUUGGUGAGGUAAAGGCUCACCAAGGCAGUGAUACGUAGCCGACCUGAGAGGGUAAUCGGCCACAUUGGGACUGAGACACGGCCCAGACUCCUACGGGAGGCAGCAGUAGGGAAUCUUCCACAAUGGACGCAAGUCUGAUGGAGCAACGCCGCGUGAGUGAAGAAGGGUUUCGGCUCGUAAAGCUCUGUUGUUAAAAAAACGUGGGUAAGAGUAACUGUUUACCCAGUGACGGUAUUUAACCAGAA